rnacentral:lncRNA from 1 species
UAUGUCAAUUUCAUUUUCAACUCUAGAAUUUCCUCUUGAUUCUUUUUAAUUAUUUCUAUUUCCUUGUUACAUUCAUCUGAUAGGAAAUCUGAAUUCCUUCUCUGUGUCAUCUUGAAUUGCUUUGAGUUUCCUCAAUACAGCUCUUUCAAAUUGUCUGCCUGAAAGGUUGCCUAUUUUUGUUUCUCCGUGAUUGGUCCCUGGUGCCUUAUUCAGUUUGGUGAGGUCAUGUUUUCCUGCGUGGUGUUGAUGCUUAUGGAUAUUCAUCAGUGUCUGAGCAGUGAAGAGUUAGGCAUUUAUUGUAGUCUUCACAGUCUGGGCUUAUUUGUGCCUGUGAUUCUUGGGAAGGCUUUUCAGGUAUUCAAAGGGACUUGAACCCCGAACCCAAUAAAACUGUAGUUCUGCGGACUCGUAAAGGUACCACCUUAGUGGUCUUGGAGAAGAUCCAGAAGAAUUCUCUGCAUUACCAGGCAGAGAUUCUUGUUCUUUUCCCUUGCUUUCUUCCAAACAAAUGGAGUCUCUCUCUCUCUCUCUCCAAGCUAGGCCUCUUGGAACUGGGGGUGGAAGGACACAAGAACCCCUGUGGCCAUCACCACUGGGACUGCACUGGUUCAGACCUGAAGCAGCCCAGCACUGGGUCUCACCUAAGGUCUGCUAGAACUGCUACCUGGCCAUCACCUGAAUUCACUCAAGGGCCUGGGACUCUACAAUCAGCAGGUGGCAAAACCAGCCAGGGUGUUGUCCCUCCCUUCAGGGCAGUGAGUUCCCUGGGAAGGUCCAGAGAUGCUGUCUGGGAGCCAGGGAUUGAUAAACCUUAGAAUUCUAUUCUAAGAUAGAAUAGAAUUCUAUAGAUGUAUCAUUCCACUGCAGGUAAGCUGGCACUCAAACCACAAGACAAAGUCCUUCCCACUCUUCACUCCCCUUUCCUCAGUCAGAGGAACCUCUCCUUGUGGCCACCACUUCCACCAGCCUGCAAGGAGUUCUCCCAGGCCACUGCUGAUGUUCACAAAAACCCCGAGGGCUCUUCAGGCAGCCUGCGAUGAAUGCUAUCAGGCCUGUGACUCAUCCUUCAGGCAGUGGGCUCCCCUUGGCCCAGGGCAGGUCCGCAAAUGCUGACCAACAGCCUAGGCCUGUACUCAGGGACCCCAAGAGCCUGCUUGGUGCUCUACCCCACUGUGGCUGAGCUGGUACCUAAGGGGCAAGACAAAGUCCCCUUUACUCUUCCUCCUGCUUUUCUCAAACAGAAGGCAUCUUUCACUGUAGCCACCACAGCCGGAAAUGUGCUGGAUCACACCUGAAGCCAGCAUGUCUCAGAGCCCAGUGCCCACAGGUGGAUGGGAAGUAGGAUUUAGUGUCCACUGGUUGUGAGCCCAGCUCGGCACUCGGGUUUGCCUGUGAAUUGCAGUCCUGAUGGCCUAAACUGCCCCUCAAGUCUGCUAAGGGCCCCAGAGCACUCCAGCUCGCAGUGGCAAGGCUUGCCAGAACUCAAGCUCCAACUGCUAAGAUGGGCAAUUCCGGCAUUUUGUUGUCUGAAGUUUGUUAUUUCUCUGGAAGAGAUCAUGGGAAUAAUAGCACCUGAGGUCUUCUGUCACAGCAUGGCACGUCAGGGUCUUCUCUACCCAAAUAAUGUUCUUUGUUGGUGUAUAGAACUGCUACUAGCCUGG